UACGUAGGGUGCAAGCGUUGUCCGGAAUUAUUGGGCGUAAAGAGCUCGUAGGCGGCUUAGCAAGUCGGGUGUGAAAACUCCAGGCUCAACCUGGAGAUGCCACUCGAGACUGCUAUGGCUAGAGUCCGGUAGGGGACCACGGAAUUCCUGGUGUAGCGGUGAAAUGCGCAGAAUAUCAGGAGGAACACCGGUGGCGAAGGCGGGUGGUCC
rnacentral:rRNA from 1 species